CUUGUUUCAAAAUUAAUUCUUCUAAUAUUCCAAGCAAGUUGAAGGCCCUAAUCAACAUAGAGAGAUUGUUGGAACAAGAAGGCUAUUCAUUUUUGCAAGGCACAAUUCUAGCAAGUUGAAGAACUAAGUGGAAAAGAUUUUGGGAAAGCCAAGAGUUAAGUGGGAUUGACUAAGGAAGCGGACAAGGUAGGCAGGCGGACGAGUUUGGUCCUUAGGAGCUCCACUAGCAGUACACCAAGAGCGCUCUAGUUGUUUCGGAGCUUCAUUUUAUCGGUACUAGUUCGUGUAUAUAUUUGGGCACGGCAGAAACCGGCCCUCCUUGUGGUCAUAUGUAUCUUGUUUAGA